GGGGGAUUGGCGCAGUUGGCUAGCGCGUUUGACUGGCAGUCAAAAGGUCACGGGUUCGAAUCCCGUAUUCUCCACGA
rnacentral:tRNA from 2 species